rnacentral:rRNA from 1 species
ACUUACCUGGGCUUGACAUACACGAGAUCGGCGCAGAGAUGCGUUUUCCCUUUGUGGUUGGUGUACAGGUGGUGCAUGGUUGUCGUCAGCUCGUGUCGUGAGAUGUUGGGUUAAGUCCCGCAACGAGCGCAACCCUUGUCUUAUGUUGCCAGCACGUGGUGGUGGGGACUCAUGAGAAACUGCCGGGGUUAACUCGGAGGAAGGUGGGGAUGACGUCAAAUCAUCAUGCCCCUUAUGUCCAGGGCUUCACACAUGCUACAAUGGUCGGUACAGUAGGUUGCGAUACCGUGAGGUGGAGCUAAUCCUUGUAAAGUCGGCCUUAGUUCGGAUUGGGGUCUGCAACUCGACCCCAUGAAGUCGGAGUCGCUAGUAAUCGCAGAUCAGCAACGCUGCGGUGAAUA